rnacentral:rRNA from 1 species
UGGGGAAUCUUGCACAAUGGGGGCAACCCUGAUGCAGCGACGCCGCGUGAGCGAUGAAGCCCUUCGGGGCGUAAAGCUCUUUCGACCGGAACGAUAAUGACGGUACCGGGAGAAGAAGCUGCGGCUAACUACGUGCCAGCAGCCGCGGUAAUACGCAGGCAGCAAGCGUUGUUCGGAGUUACUGGGCGUAAAGAGUGCGUAGGCGGUUUUCUAAGUUCGGUGUGAAAUCUCCCGGCUUAACUGGGAGGGUGCGCCGAAGACUGGGAAGCUGGAGUGUGGGAAAGGCAGGCGGAAUUCCUGGUGUAGCGGUGAAAUGCGUAGAUAUCAGGAGGAACACCGGCGGUGUAGACGGCUUGCUAGACCAUAACUGACGCUGAGGCACGAAAGCGUGGGUAGCAAACA